rnacentral:rRNA from 1 species
UACAACUUUCAACAACGGAUCUCUUGGUUCUGGCAUCGAUGAAGAACGCAGCGAAAUGCGAUAAGUAGUGUGAAUUGCAGAAUUCAGUGAAUCAUCGAAUCUUUGAACGCACAUUGCGCCCCAUGGUAUUCCGUGGGGCAUGCCUGUUCGAGCGUCAUUUGUACCCUCAAGCCUAGCUUGGUGUUGGGCGUUUGUCUCGCGCUUUUGCGUGCAGACUCGC